rnacentral:rRNA from 1 species
AUUUACCAACGGACCCGGAAAAUUCCGUUACCGGGGCCGACAGCAAUAUGAAGGCCAGGCUGAAGACUUUGCCGGAUUAGCUGAGAGGUGGUGCAUGGCCGUCGUCAGUUCGUACUGUGAAGCAUCCUGUUAAGUCAGGCAACGAGCGAGACCCACGCCCACAGUUGCCAGCGUACUCUCUGGAGUGACGGGUACACUGUGGGACCGCCGCUGCUAAAGCGGAGGAAGGAAUGGGCAACGGUAGGUCAGUAUGCCCCGAAUAUCCCGGGCUACACGCGAGCUACAAUGGUUGGUACAAUGGGUAUCUACCCGAAAGGGGACGGGAAUCUCCUAAAACCAAUCUUAGUUCGGAUUGAGGGCUGCAACUCGCCCUCAUGAAGCUGGAAUCCGUAGUAAUCGCGUUUCAACAGAACGCGGUGAAUACGUCCCUGCUCCUU